rnacentral:lncRNA from 1 species
AUUUAGGAAGAGAACUCCCUUUCCUUUUUUUCUUACAUUUCUUACCCAGUCAUUUACUCUCCUAAAUAAAAAACCCCAGUUAUACUCCUUGGCUCCUGUGUCACGUUAAGUUUUCAGGAACGCACCAAGUCCUGCUCAUUUUAGUCCCAAGAUAGGCAUGAAGUCCAGUCCUCUUCCCGAUUUAUACUACCUCUGUCCUGAUUCAAGUCUGCAUCAUCUCUUACCUGUUGCCUAUAUUAUUGUAGUAGACUCACCAGUGGUCUCCCUGCUUCACGUCUUGAUCCCUUUGCAUUCACCUUUUCAAGGCCAGCAGAAUGGUAUAGCAAAAAUGGGCAUCAGACCUUGUCAUUCAUAUUUAAAAGUUUCCCAUUGUCAUAGCAGAUAUUUCCAAACCUCUGAUCAGAAUCCUAAGGGUAGGGAGUACCUCUAAAUCUGUCUAUAUAUGUCAGGCCCCAUCCCUGCACAUUCUAAUUUUGUAGAAUUGCGAGUUGGGAGCCUAUGUUUUUAAGUUCCCCAAAAGAUUUUGAUGCCUGAUUAGAUUGAGAAGUCCAGCCUACCAGAAUCAGAUGUGAGCUUCUCUGCCAGGUAUGUGAGGUCCUCCGUGACCUGGCAUAGGUUUAGAAGUCUCCUAUGUUUCCCACCAUGCUUUCUGAUCUGCUUUAUUCUCCAUCCUAGCAGUGCUGAAGGUUGUGUUCCAUUAACAUCAUGCCACUUCUUGUCACUCUACCUUUGUGUCUCUGCCUUUACCUGAAAUAAGUGUUUCUUAGCCUGAGCGAUAUAUCCUUUUUUUGUUUCCAUGGCAGCCAUCAAUGUACAGUGCAACAUUUGCCAAUCUAUGACUAAUCCUCUUUUGUGUUCUGUAUCAGUUAUUAAAGAUUUCAUGACAGUUCAACUUCAGUAUCAUCUUGUAAUAUGUGUAAAUGCAAAUGUAUGUAAACAAGGUUUUGCUUUUUCUCUGUGACCUUCAUUUUUUCCCUUCCCCUAGUGCUGGGGAUGGAACCCAGGGCCAUGUGCAAUGUUGGGCAUGUGCUCUACCACUGAGUUACAUCCCCCAGCCAAGUAACCUUCAUUUUUAACUUACUUUGAAUUAUGUAAGGAAAAGUAUGAUUUAUCAAGUGCAUUUUAAAGUGACGUGUUUGGUUUUAAAUCAAAUAUAUAUUAAAAUGUGGUUUGCUAUUUAAUGAUGUUACAGUGUCAAAAAUAGACCAAAACAACUGUUUUCAGCCCAGAGAUUCUUGGCAUUUUGCAUUUGAAGCAAGCUGAUUACAUUUUAUAAUUUUUUGUUUGUGAAUGACAAAUAAGAAAGGUUUGAGGAUGUUGUUUGCCUGCAGCUCUCUGCAGUAAUUUAUUUGGGUUAUAGAUGAUCUUGAUUCUCAGUAAGUCAGAAGCCAAGUUGAUAAAUUGCCAGUACAUUUUUGCUUUUUAAUGUUGCCUUUGGAAAUAUUGCGUUCAUCUUGAUUUUCUUUUUUUGUUCUAGGGAUUGAACUCAGGGGCACAAGACCACUGAGCCACAUCCCCAGCCCUAUUUUGUAUUUUAUUUAGAGACAGGGUCUCACUGAGUUGCUUAGGGCCUCGCCAAGUUGCUGAGGCGGGCUUUGAACUCAUGAUCCUCCUAUCUCAGCCUCCUGAGCUGCUGGAAUUUCAGGUGUGAACCACUGCACCUGGCUCAUCUUGAUUUUUCUAUAUAAAAAUUCAUAAAUAUAAUUUUAGGACCUGAUAAUAUGAUAGGACUUUGCAAAAUAAUCAUUUCAAAGAUGUCAAAAUCUGGGUUCUGUCUUGGUUUAAUUGGUAUAAAUUAUAAAAGAGAUGACUAUGGAUUUUUUUUUUUUUUGUCUUUUUUUUUUUGGAACUGGGGGUCGAACCCAGGGCUUUGCGAAUGCAAGGCAGACGCUUUGCCACUGAGCUACAUCCCAGCCCGACUAUGGAUUUAAAAUGUUAUUCACCUAGCCUUGGUUGCAGUACUGGCUCUGCCUGCCUGAGUCAUGGGCACAUUUUUCUGAUUUCCACUAAAAGAAAGCAUCUUUCAGUUUUUUAAAAAUUUGUUCUA